rnacentral:rRNA from 1 species
UACGUAGGGACCGAGCGUUGUCCGGAAUCAUUGGGCGUAAAGAGCGUGUAGGCGGCCACUUAAGUCCUGCGUGAAAUCUUGCGGCUCAACCGCAAGCGGUCGUGGGAAACUGGGUGGCUAGAGUGCGGGAGAGGAGAGUGGAAUUCCUGGUGUAGCGGUGAAAUGCGCAGAUAUCAGGAGGAACACCGGUGGCGAAGGCGGGUCUCUGGGCAGUAACUGACGCUGAGGAGCGAAAGCGUGGGGAGCGAACAGG